rnacentral:misc_RNA from 1 species
GAUGAAGAACGUAGCGAAAUGCGAUAAGUAGUGUGAAUUGCAGAAUUCCGUGAAUCAUCGAAUCUUUGAACGCACAUUGCGCCUUCUGGUAUUCCGGAAGGCAUGCCUGUUCGAGAGUCAUUAACAACCGUUUCGAUCCCUUUCUUUCAGAAAUUACAAAGAGGAAAAGGGUUUGGUUAUGGUGGAGGAGGGAAAGGGAGCGUUUAGCCUGUAAAAAAAGAGGCUGUGUUCCGCCUCCCCCCCAAAAUUGUACAGGCGGUCGUGUGCGCCCACGCAUCGAGGUGUUGUAAAAGCUGCCACGGCACUUUUCACCUGUGCAGUGCGAGAUUGGCCAGCCGGUUUAAAAACCCCUCAAAACAAUCAAAGGUUGACCUCGGAUCAGGUAGGGAUACCCGCUGAACUUAAGCAUAUCAAUAAGCGGAGGA